rnacentral:rRNA from 1 species
AUUGAACGCUGGCGGCAGGCCUAACACAUGCCAGUCGAGCGGAUGAAGGGAGCUUGCUCCUGGAUUCAGCGGCGGACGGGUGAGUAAUGCCUAGGAAUCUGCCUGGUAGUGGGGGAUAACGUCCGGAAACGGGCGCUAAUACCGCAUACGUCCUGAGGGAGAAAGUGGGGGAUCUUCGGACCUCACGCUAUCAGAUGAGCCUAGGUCGGAUUAGCUAGUUGGUGGGGUAAAGGCCUACCAAGGCGACGAUCCGUAACUGGUCUGAGAGGAUGAUCAGUCACACUGGAACUGAGACACGGUCCAGACUCCUACGGGAGGCAACAGUGGGGAAUAUUGGACAAUGGGCGAAAGCCUGAUCCAGCCAUGCCGCGUGUGUGAAGAAGGUCUUCGGAUUGUAAAGCACUUUAAGUUGGGAGGAAGGGCAGUAAGUUAAUACCUUGCUGUUUUGACGUUACCAACAGAAUAAGCACCGGCUAACUUCGUG